AUUGAACGCUGGCGGCAUGCCUUACACAUGCAAGUCGAACGGCAGCACGGGAGCUUGCUCCUGGUGGCGAGUGGCGAACGGGUGAGUAAUACAUCGGAACGUACCCUGAAGUGGGGGAUAACGUAGCGAAAGUUACGCUAAUACCGCAUAUUCUGUGAGCAGGAAAGAGGGGGAUCGCAAGACCUCUUGCUUUAGGAGCGGCCGAUGUCGGAUUAGCUAGUUGGUGAGGUAAAGGCUCACCAAGGCGACGAUCCGUAGCGGGUCUGAGAGGAUGAUCCGCCACACUGGGACUGAGACACGGCCCAGACUCCUACGGGAGGCAGCAGUGGGGAAUUUUGGGACAAUGGGCGCAAGCCUGAUCCAGCCAUGCCGCGUGAGUGAAGAAGGCCUCGGUUGUAAG
rnacentral:rRNA from 1 species